UACAGAGGGUGCGAGCGUUGUCCGGAAUCACUGGGCGUAAAGGGCGCGUAGGCGGCUGAUUUAGUCGAGGGUGAAAGCCCGUGGCUCAACCACGGAAUGGCCUUCGAUACUGGUUGGCUUGAGACCGGAAGAGGACAGCGGAACUGCGAGUGUAGAGGUGAAAUUCGUAGAUAUUCGCAAGAACACCAGUGGCGAAGGCGGCUCACUGGCCCGAGUACUGACGCUGAGGCACGAAAGCGUGGGGAGCAAACAGG
rnacentral:rRNA from 1 species